UUGGAAAGGCUCCUCAGGCGUCCACCUCAGCACACCAUGCUCCUUUUCGUGACACGUGUCGAGCAGGUGAGGGCUUCAUUUUUUUCCACGUGAAACUGUGGUUUUAUUGGGCCUCUCAUGAUUUAUUGGGCUUGAAUGCUAUUGCGAUUAGGGUUCGGGGUCUCUUCGAGAUUGCGAUCUUCGCCUUCCUCUUUCCAUCGUCUCUGCUUUCUCUCCUCUCUGUAACGUAUUCGUUGUCAUUGAAACCAAUCUUUAAUUCGGUCAUCAAUCUUUACCCCACCUCUCUUCCCACUUCAUCUCAUUUAACCAGCUUCAUCAUCAUCUACGGUGACCCGAUUGCAACCCCACCUAUAAAUGUUCGUAGAAAGCGAUGAACAACUACAUCUCUCGAAAACACACUAUGUCAAGCAUCAACUCGAAAUAUGGAAUUCAAGCAUUUUCCUAGACGAUUUAAAAGUUGGCAGCUGCUCAACAACCAUCGAGAACAUCGUGAUCUCAUCGCCUCCACAUCCUUUCAAUCCCAGCUCCUUUUAUUCUCAGAUGAGCCAGAUGCGUGGGUGGCAAGAUCACCGGCAUCUAUAGUCACGGCGGAGCCGUAAAGGUUGAGUUUACGUUUAUGGCCGAAGAGGAUUGGGUAAUUGUAAAGCUCGAUCCUGCUCAGUUUGAGAAAGUUGUCGCCGAUUCGGUCGAGCUUCUUUGUCCUGGUCUUGGGAGAUGCGACGGCGGAUAGGUGGCAAGUAGUGGGUCAAAAGCGUUGCGCGGUGGAGGAAUACACUGGAUUCUCAUGAGAUCAGAGAUUGCGAUUUUGCUGUGGAUUUGAUUAAUUUCGUCUAUAUCUGGCCCAAUUAAUAAGGCCCAUGGAGAUAACAACAUCUGUUAAUAAAAAAAGAGAACGUAUGUAUAAGUAUAUGAGGCCCUAAAACCCAAUAAAUAAUUAUGCCGUCUUAGGAA